rfam:Takifugu rubripes chromosome, Chr_5
GUCUCCUGUGCCUGCUGUGCUGAUAAUCAGUGUGUGACGUUGGCUGGCUCAGUUCAGCAGGAACAGGGG